rnacentral:lncRNA from 1 species
GGGCACAAAUACUCCCGGCUGAAUAGCGCUUCUCUCAUUCUCAAAAGGCCGCGACUAUUUGGGACCACGUGAGGAGCUGUUUAGAACAUAGUUGCUGAGCAGAUAAAGAUUCCGAGGGCUCAUUUGUGAUUUGGUAUCUUGUCAAAUGAGACGGUUUAAGCAGGCAGGCUUCUGGACUCAGUUUCCCCAUCUGCGCAGUUGCGUUUGCAGAGACUCCUGAGGAACGCAGAGAAGCUUUACUUGCUAUUAGCAAAAUGCUUUGAGGACCUCGUACGAAAGGCGCUGGAUGGGGUGUAAAUUAAAUAAAACUGUGUCCGGCUCCAAUAGCCGUCCGGUUGUAACAUAAUCUUUACCCUGCUCGGAGAGGGAUACUACCCUCAAAGUGAGGACGACAGCGGCUCCAAGAAGAUUAAAUAAAGAGAGAGAGCACGCAUGAGUGUGUGUGUGUGUGUGUGUGCGCGUGUAGAUUGCAAUGCUGGCCUAUUUUACUGCCAGAGAAUGAGCGAUGUCCUGCAAUUCCAGUCCCAUAUCUGUUAUUUUGUGUAUGUGUGGAGACUGUUCAGUAAAACUGCACACACAAAUGAAGCUGUAAUUAUCUUAAGCCUCAUUUGCACACCUUGUUCCAAAGCAAUUAUUAAAAAGAUUUUGAAAACAAUUAGGGUCUCUAAACAAAGAUAAUCUAUUGUCAGUAGCUGAGACUGGCAGGAGAUAAGAACAAUGCGCGGAGAUAAGGGGAGCCAAAUGGUGCAAGGAGAGUGACUUUAUGACUAUACUUAUCUCUGAUUAGAUAAGUUCAAAACAGAAUUUUAAGUACACUUCAAAAAUGCUUUUGAUUUAAAUGCACCCUCUUAGUGAAUGCAAAGAACAAACUCUAGGCUCUUUAAACUUGCUUGUCUCCUUUAAAUAUGUUUUGAGUCCAUCAGCCAGAGCCCAGCUCCAUUGACAGUUUGCACACUGAGACAUAAGCAAGAGAAGGAGCAGCCCUGUGCGGCUUUCCCCUUGUAUUAUUUAUAUUGUUUUAAAAUAAUGCACCCAGUCCGGUGCACCCUGCAAUGUACAUUUUAAACUCAUGAAGGGUUUCCACCUCCUGGCUGCCUCUCAGGAGAUUCCAAGUAAAGGGAAGCUGCUUCUCCGCUGAGCUCCCAGACAAUGCUUUUUACAUCAGUGAAACUCUGCAGUAUCUCGUGCAAUUAGACCUUGGAAACAGAUAUUGAUAUUUCAUUACGUUUAGGAUUUUUUUAAAUGCAUUUAAUGGGUGCAUAUUAUUUCAAAAGUUAUUACCUAUUACAUGGUGUACCCAAUGACUUACUUUCUUAACUAGAACCUGGCACAGCUGAGCGCAAGCCCAUGUGUCUGGUAAUUUUCCCUCACCAUCUUAUUUUAGUGCUCAGGAUGUUUCAGAUGAAGUCUUAAGGAGCUGUAGUGUCCGUCCUGCCAGAAGGAAUGUCUCUGCUUGGAACAAUCCUUAUUGACAUGGCAGCUGUGUGAGGACCAGCACAGAGGCUUAAACUGGCUCUAAAAAUCAGUUAAUACCCUAAAGUCUGGAGCAAGUGCGCAGAAUUACAACGUGUAUGGGGGGGAGGGGAGCGGCUGUAAGUACAGCUACGUCUCUUAAAAGACAAACGGAAUGAGGACAUACAAGACGUUGGCGACAACUGGGAAGACAACCGUGUGGGUGCUGUGAUUGUGGGCCCUGGGGUCAGUGAGAAGUGGUGCUCCUUCUCGGAGGCUGUGCCGGGCCGCCAGCCUUUCUCCUUAUGUUUAAUCCAACAGAUCCCGUAACUAGAAAAGAAAAGUGCUAUUCGCUUUGUACCAUCGAGCCUACCUGCUAUUUCGAUCUCUUGGUCAGGGUAACCAAUUGUUAUAAAUGUUAAUUAUUGGCUCGGAUAUAUAAGGUUUCCCAAAAUGGAACCUUUCACUGAAAACCACUAAAAGAGGUAAAAUGACAUGAAUUUACAAACCACAUAAACCAAAUGAUCCAUUUUAAAUCGCGCACAGAAAGGUUAGAGUUGUUCUAGUAACUUAAAACCUUUGCUGUCAAUGCAAAUCACACGAAAAACAGAGAUGCGUCGGAGAUUUAAAGGGAACGAGCAACUCCAGCUGCUGCCCCCGCCGCUCCGUGGUUCCCGAGGGUAACGCGGCUGGCGAGGGGCGCCCGACGCCAGGUUUCGGCUCUUCUGUGCCUCUGCUGCGCAGGUAAUGGCCGGGUGCGCACAAUUGGUCAAUGGAAAGGCCAAUGCGGAGGCACUGGUUGCUGCUGGGGUUUCUCGGCUGGGUUGACAUAAGGCCUUGGUUCAAAAAACCUCUGACUGGGACCCACUUAUUUCCCUUCUGGCUUAGAGCGAGGUGUUUUGGGGGCUCACGGCCUGCUUUCUUGGAAUUACUUCGCCAUCAAGAACGACAGCGGGGAUCCUGCUCUAGCUACGUAUAUUUGGAAGGGAAAGGCAACAGGAGGCGUUUCUUUAACAAAUUAGCGUCGUCGCUCUGCGGCAGUGCAGAGACUGCCCAAAUCCUGGCUGAAGUGACAGCAUCCAUCUUUUUUCCUCUGCUUGGUCGGAAACUCCGGGUGCCCUCGACCCUUGGGAUGCGGGGCUCCCCGAGGCCAGCGGCCGGAGCAGCCGCCCACCUGCCUCCUGGGGGACGCCGCUCCCCGCGAGGUCUGAAUAGGCCGAGGGCUCAGGCAGGGCGAUUUGCGGACCCGGAGAAGAGAAACCCAAAACCAGUCCAUUAGUAAAUGAGUUUUGUGUUGUCAAGGUUCUUUCCCAUCCACUUGCUGUUCUGAAAAAUAGAUCACGUUUCGUUAUCUUUAGUGGGAAUCUGCAACGUGACACCGGAUCCGCGCGGCCCCCGCCUGUCUCCCUCCCUCUCUUCCAGCCUCGCUCCGCCGGGCCAAGGGGAGCCGGCCGGCUUCCUCGGCUUAUUUCUGAACAAUGAAGAUUUGUCUGUUCCCCUAAUAUAUUUAUGUAUGGAGGGAAGGAGGGAGUUUUCUCCUGGAAGCGGGAAGCGCGCGAGCAGGGCCUCCCGCUUCCUUGGUGCGAAAACCCAGCGCCAGCCCAGGACGCCGGCCGGCCGCCCCCCGCCCACACCUGGACAAACAGAGCGGGCCGCGCGCGGCUGGCUGCUGAAAACCCCGCCGCCCCGCGCGCCUCCUGAAUUACAGUCUGCACAUUGUCCCGGGGUCAGGGAAGGGAGAGACAGAGACUGACUGAGGGACACCGCUGCGAGGGAGCUCAGAGUGAAGAGGGACAGAACUGGGGGGUGUGUAUUUGGAGGGGUUACACUCUCCCUCUUUGUGUGUCCCCACGUCUGGUCUCUCUCUGAAUGUGUGUCUUUCUCUGUGUCUCUUUCUAUCUCAUUCUCGUUUCACUCUGAAAGAAGAAACUCGUUCAUUCUGUGUGAACCUCUGGUUCUCAUUCUUUCUCUCUUAUCUCUCUCUCACUCUCGCUCUUUCUCUCACUGUCUCAUUCUUCUCAUUGUUUCUCCUCUCUGUCUCUCUCUCCUCUGUCUCUGUCUCUCUCUCCCCUACCCCCACCCCUGGAUCUCUGUAUUUCUCUCUCCGGUUCCCCUCCCUCCCGCAUGGCUCUGGGUGCCUGUGCCUAUUUCUUUCUGCCCGGGACCAGGCGCUCCGAAGUUUCACAGACACAGCGUGCUGAUGUCGGGCACCCAGGCAGCGCCGGGCGAGAAGACUCUGAAGUCCCGCCAGGGCGUCGGCUCCGUCAGCGGGACCCCGCCAUGCUGAGUGGAGGCGUCGUCUAAGGGUGGCACGGGUAGGCGGAAGAAGGUGGGUUGGCCACCUGGAGGAAAAGGGCCGACUUCAAUUGCGCUCUGAGAAGGCUCAGGCUCAGGGACUCGCCAAGCUCCAGACUUAGCCAGAAGACGCACUCAACAUCAGAUGCCAAGCACCUUUCUGGAAAGUGAAGGAGAGUGUUAUAAGAAUCUGUUCUUACGAAUUUAAGAUACCCUUGCCCCCUUCUCUUUAUUAAUAUUGCUUUAGGGCAAGUUUACAAAAAGAUACUCUCCAAGAGUCCUUGUUUUCCAUUGAAUGUCCAAUAAACUUUUUUCUCAACUAAUGUACAUCCUGAAUACCGCAUCUGUCUAAGCUAAGAAGAAUUUCCUUUUGGGAGGUGAAAGCCUGCAGCUCCUCCUGUUCAGAGGAAAGUGCUAGUGACGGUAAUGCAGGGUGACACUAAAUAAACAGUUAGGGUGGACUGGAAAGAUGGAGUUAAUUAUCCAGUGAGCUGCGUUUCAGCCCAGACCAUCAGGGGCUGAUUUGUUUUGGCUCAUAGUCGUAGGAAGGAGACAAACCACUCUCUUCUCUACAUCUCUUAGGGAUCCUGAUCACUGGUUUCUCAAACAAAACAAAAUACAAAAACCACUACCCAGGUAUCACUGUUUCAAUUAAAAUUUGGUUUACUGCUCCUCUGCAGACUGCAAAAAUGUCCACUCCCUUGCCCCAUGGCCCUGGAGAGAAGACCCCAAAUGGCCCAAAAAUGCACCCCCCAAAUCUUUUUUUAGAGGCCCAUUGGUAAAGAAAGUGGACAUCCAGCACCCCUCCUCAGCUCUUCACUUGGACUCUUACAAUAAGUUUAUGUAACUACGUGUUUAGAAAAACUAAGGUGUUGGCCCGGUUUUCGCGACGGUUUUACUUCACCCCUCCAAAAAAAUCAGGCUUCGUGGAAUUUCAGAUGCAAUUAGAUUUAUUGUUCGCGUGAUUCACUGACUAUCCGGUUUCCUCAGGUCCAGGCUUGGCAGCGAGGCGAUCAGCACGUUCGCGGCAUUUGUAUUCUUCCAUUUCUCAGCCUAAAGCCAUUUAGCGUAACCCGAGCCCAGGAUAAUUGCCACGUUUCUGCCGCGAUACUUCUAAAAACAAGAUAAUGCUUCUGAAUUGCGGAAGAAAGUACUGCGGACAAAUUGGGCGCGGAGCGGCCGAGAUGGAUCGCUUUGUUAGGGGCGGCCCGUGGUUUGUGACUCAAUUAGUGCACUUCUGGGAGCUGCCCGCCCUCUGCAGCCCGGUCAGCUCGAGGCGAACUCCCCCUGUGGCUCCCGGGCGCCGGCAGGGCGUCGGGGAGCACUUCGGGCCUGUACCUAUGUCGGUGCAAAGCCACGCCGCGGGAAAUGUUUUUGUAUUCCCACACGAGUACAUUGCUCGGGUUCUAAAGGAUCCAGAUUUUCGCGGACAGAAGCUUGACUGCCUCUGCUCCGGUAUGAGCCGCGCGGCGUUUGUCUGAAGCACGGUCCUCUGCGCUGUGGGGAAAGAAGCGCCGGGUGGAGGGUGCCGGGAAGGGGCCCACUCCCCCACGCCCCCGCGCGCCUCGCCCACCCGCCAGGACCUGGACUUGGCAACAACGUUUGCAACCCUGCUGCUGUCCUUGGCGCAGCCGGCAGGGUGAGGCUUCCAGGCAGCCGGCGGACCGCGAGGGGCGCUUUUCGGGCUUGGAACGAGGCCGUCAGAGCUUUUCUUGCCUCUGCUCGAGUCCACCCGCCACCCCCACCCAUCGCCCCGCAUGCAGGCCGAGGUUCCGGGGAAGCCGCUCUGCCAGGUGCGCGCUCGCGGCCCCGCCCGCCGGCUGGCUGUGCCCAGCCUGGAGCAGCCGGGCCUCACCCGGUCCCGCCGCCCGCGCCACGAAGCCCGCCCGGGGGCCGCCGAGAGCUCUCGGGCGCCGCGUCUGCGCCGGGACGGCUCCGCCCAGUCGGGCAGCGAGAGGCUGGGCGUUCCGGCCGGGCCGGCCCAGCGGCUCGGGCGACAGCAGGCUUCGGACCCCGCCGCUCUCUCGGGAGCUUCCCCGGGGCGUUACUGGGGCCAAGAGGCGUCGGGGCGUGAGGAAGGAGAGGACAGGGCAGGGGACCGCAGGGGCGGGAAGCAGGCGAGGGGAGGUCAGCGGAGCGGGGAGGGGCGCGGGCCCGCGGCGGGCGCGGCCGAGGACAGAGAGGGCGCUGUCUUCCUGGCAAAGGAUCCCUGGCCCGGCCGGCAGGAACCGAAACAAAAAGACAAGAACCUCCGCCCAGCUGAGCGGCGGGGUGAGGGGCACGCGGCGGGGAGGGGCUCGGGUGGCACAGCGAUUCUCAGCCCCCAGCCCGGGAACCGCUUGGCCCGCCGCGGCCCUGCCAGAGCCGCUAGCCCCGAGUGGGACUCGCGGGGAGGGAGCUCCGUUGGCCCCUUUUGCUCUCCCCACAGUGGCCUUCCUUCAGGGUCAUCCCUCCCUCGCUUUCUCCCUCGGAAACUGGAGGCGUCAGGGUGAGGUCGGCGACGCUUCCCUGGCGAGUGAGGAGCCCCAGUUUGUCCAAGGCGAGCGGGGGCGGCGGCGAGGGGGGUCCCGAUCCCCUUUCCAGGAGCCGAGCCAGGUUUUGGGUUUCGUGAGUCCUGCGGAAGUAAAACCGCGACGCCAGCCAAUCCUUCACAUCGAAGGUGCGCAGCAAGUGGCCUCACCUGGUUUGGCCGCGCCUUGCCCAGGGACCAGAAGAGAGAGAAGACCCUCUAAUUUACUGUCACCGAUUGGCUGGACGCGCACUUGGCGACCAGAGGGAUCUGAAGACAACUACUAUCAACCGUUUCCCACCCAAACCCACAAAUCUAAAAACUCAGUUUGUAUUAAUUCGCAAGAAACUGUUAUUCGUCCAUUCCAAAAGUACAUAAUUUUCCUCUGUCAUCUACAAGGGAUAACGUGUUCUCAUCUUUCCAUGCUCAUAAUAAAUCAGGCAAAGCAAAACAAAAGGAUCCCACACUCACUCAUCUUCUGUCUUGAAAGGUCCCUCCGUAUUCAGGGACAUAGUUAAAGGCCCUUCUGGUUUGUACAUAGAUACUAUAACCGAUGGUCUCCUUACAUGUCCGCCAACAGAGAAUCUCAAGCUCCAGUCUCCCUGUGAAUUUCCUGGGGAGUCGUGACUCGUCCACAGCCCUUCCAGCAGAAUCCAGGUGGCCCUGUAGCUCCGCCUUUGGCAAGAGAGCUAUUUCCUAGGAGUAACUGGGUGGGCUGCAGCCCGCCUGCCUCUUCACGUUGAGAAACGCUUCUCUUGUGGGGACGUCUGUUUCUAUUCAUCCGAUUUUCUAAUUUCUUUGAUCAGCCUAAAUAUUUUCUUGGCAAACGGAAAUUGACCAUGCCAUGAAUAUGAUAACAACCUGCUUGGAAAAAAGCUAUUUUGUUUCCAAGCAGCAGAAAAAAGGGGUGGGGGAGUAGGAAUGCCUGCAACAGAUUCCUGCACACACAUCUUUUCGCACGCAGUCUCUGAAGCAGCUUUGUGAAAGCUGCCUUCUCCACCCUAAUAUAGUUUCUUCCCUCUCCUCCCCUCAGAUAAACACACACCUGGGCUCCUAAAAGUCUGAUAUUCUUUAUAAAAAAAAAAAUAGAACUUCAAUGGAUGUCUCUUGAGAAUUUCCCUUUAAAACAGAUGAAAGGCAAGAGCGUUUGAAAAUGAGAUCAUGGAAACACAGACACCAGACUCUUUGCUAUUGGAAGAAGCCAAGAGGUCAUCAGUUGAACCUGCCACUCUAAGCAGAAUCUCUCAGAAAACGUGUUUGAUGGGACAGCCCUAGCUUGGCUUAACCACUCGAGCAUAGGAGAACUCACUACCUCACAUCUGUUUUGCAUGUUUCAAGACUCACCAAAACAGGAAAGGUGUACAUGGCGGAAACAAAGUCACGUGGCAUCCAUGGUCCUGUACAAACUAGAUAAAACGUGAGAGAAACACAGAGUGGAUCUUCUUAUUACUCAUUGGUCAAGUAGAAAGUUAGAGUAAACUGUACUAGCUAAACUGCUUUCUCAAGUUUCCAUUUUAGGCAUUUCUACUGUUU